rnacentral:rRNA from 1 species
UGGGGAAUAUUGGACAAUGGGCGCAAGCCUGAUCCAGCAAUGCCGCGUGUGUGAAGAAGGCCUUCGGGUUGUAAAGCACUUUUAUCAGGAGCGAAACGCUGUCGGCUAAUACCCGGCGGAACUGACGGUACCUGAGGAAUAAGCACCGGCUAACUUCGUGCCAGCAGCCGCGGUAAUACGAAGGGUGCAAGCGUUAAUCGGAAUUACUGGGCGUAAAGCGUGCGUAGGCGGUUUCUUAAGUCUGCUGUGAAAUCCCCGGGCUCAACCUGGGAAUGGCAGUGGAUACUGGGAGGCUAGAGUGUGUCAGAGGGUGGUGGAAUUCCCGGUGUAGCGGUGAAAUGCGUAGAGAUCGGGAGGAACAUCAGUGGCGAAGGCGGCCACCUGGGACAACACUGACGCUGAGGCACGAAAGCGUGGGGAGCAAACAGGAUUAGAUACCCUGGUAGUCCACGCCCUAAAACGAUGCGAACUGGAUGUUGGUCUCAACUCGGAGAUCAGUGUCGAAGCUAACGCGUUAAGUUCGCCGCCUGGGGAGUACGGUCGCAAGACUGAAACUCAAAGGAAUUGACGGGGUCAUAGCUGUUUCCU